rnacentral:tRNA from 1 species
GUCCCUGUGGCUCAGUUGGUAGAGCAUUGCACUUUCAACGCCAGGGUUGUGGGUUCAAUUACCACAGGGGACC